rnacentral:tRNA from 1 species
AUCUAUUUAGUACAAAUAAUAUAUUUGACUUCCAAUCAAAAGAUCUUACCUAUAAGAAUAGAUA